AAUUUGCCAAAGGUAAAUGUCUUGUAUCUAAUCAGGUGGUCUCUUUCAUCCUCUGAGCUCAGGUCCUCUACCAGAAGCCUGGGAGAUUGAGGGUUCUGCGCAGUGUCUUGGCUGUGCCUAGAACCUGACAUUUCUGGACUGAGAAGUCUGAUGCUGUUCCUGGGAUCUGUUUUAGACACUGCUCCAGUUUGGGGGUGACUGCCCUGAGGGCCCCGAUGACCACAGGUCCCUGCGCUCCUCUGCUCUGUAGACGCAGGGUGAAUUCUCUUUGCCGGGAGCACCCGACGCCAGCGUAGACCCUCCGAUUUCUGCCAGGAUCGGUUUGGUAAAUGCCAGGUCGCUGACAAAUAAAACUUUCAUCAUUAGGGA